rnacentral:lncRNA from 1 species
GUCAUCUGAUCAGCGUUUUCUGCCUCCUCACCAUCCGAUCCCAGCAUCAGCCUCCCAUGAAGCGUACAAGUGGCUGCGGGAGAAUUUGCUUGAAAAAGAAAGGUAAAAUACUUUCGUCAACUGAGUCUAUAACCUGUCUUAAAAGCCUGGAUUGAAUUGCACAGACAGGAUAUUUCUCCCUGAACUUUUCUGAAUUGCGAGGUGACUUGAAAACACUGUAUUGUAAUGGCUGGCACUGGCUGGAGAAGAGGGACGGGGGUGUCGCAGCGGGGAUGCACCAGCCUGCCACCGAGAGGGACCUGUGCCCAACUCCAGCUUGACUCCAAGUAACACACAAUUUUUCAGGAGGGCUUUCUGAAGCCCAAAGUUCAGCGCUUGCCUGGCUUCCUGGUGUCCCUGAAGUCCUGGUGCUGUGGCAUUCGAUCCAUCAGCUCACCACGUGCUCGUUGAACCAGCAAGCAGGCAGCUACUGCGCUACUAAUAAAUGCUCCGCAGGAGCCAGGAGAGUUUGUUUGAAUGCGUAUAGCAAGAGCACUGGAAAUUUGAUUUACAGUCUUCGGAGCCUCCUAAGGAUUGCAUUUCAAAAUUAGGAAGGGAAAACCUAUUUUUAACAUCUUGGAGGAUGCACAGAAAGGAGUAACUGCUUGCUUUACUUGCUUGACUUACACUUUUGUUCCCUCCUAUCUAACCACGUUCUUAGUGCUUCGUUAUUUCAGCCUGGGAAAUUCCUGAAGGUUGCCUAGCUGGGAGAUCUGGGGUGACAUUUAGUUUAAGCUUUUAGACUAAAAACUAUUUGAAUGAAAUUCUUCCUACACUGUUUAACCGCUUUGCUGAUGUUCUUUCUCUGUUUUAGUAGAGCUCCACAGACCUAAUCUGUACAUAUACUUUUGGGCCAAUAAAGAAUCAUUUCAAUCAAUUUAUUUCCCCAAAUAAAUUGAAUAAAGUUUCCAUUAUAUGUAUUUGAUUUUUUUUUAGUGAUAAAUCCUUAUAUAAACCUCUUGAUAAAAAGGAUUCUGUAAUUUCAG